rnacentral:rRNA from 1 species
GACGAACGCUGGCGGCGUGCUUAACACAUGCAAGUCGAACGGAAAGGCCCUGCUUUUGUGGGGUGCUCGAGUGGCGAACGGGUGAGUAACACGUGAGUAACCUGCCCUUGACUUUGGGAUAACUUCAGGAAACUGGGGCUAAUACCGGAUAGGAGCUCCUGCUGCAUGGUGGGGGUUGGAAAGUUUCGGCGGUUGGGGAUGGACUCGCGGCUUAUCAGCUUGUUGGUGGGGUAGUGGCUUACCAAGGCUUUGACGGGUAGCCGGCCUGAGAGGGUGACCGGCCACAUUGGGACUGAGGUACGGCACAGAGCCCUACGGUAGGCAGCAGUGGGGAAUAUUGCACAAUGGGCGGAAGCCUGACGCAGGAACGCCGCGUGAGGGAUGACGGCCUUCGGGUUGUAGACCGCUUUCGCCUGUGACGAAGCGUGAGUGACGGUAAUGGGUAAAGAAGCGCCGGCUAACUACGUG